rnacentral:rRNA from 1 species
UACGAGUGCCCCAAGCGUUAUCCGGAAUCAUUGGGCGUAAAGGGUGUGUAGGUGGUCUUGUUAGUCUCAUGUCAAAUUCUUCGGCUUAACCGGGGACCGGCACGGGAAACGGCAAGACUUGAGGAUGCGAGAGGUGAAUGGAACUCAUAGUGUAGGGGUGAAAUCCGUUGAUAUUAUGGGGAACACCAAAAGCGAAGGCAAUUCACUGGCGCAUUCCUGACACUGAAACACGAAAGCGUGGGUAGCGAAUGGG